ACGCUCGACACCUACGGGGGGCAGCAGUGGGGAAUAUUGCACAAUGGGGGAAACCCUGAUGCAGCGACGCCGCGUGAGCGAAGAAGUAUCUCGGUAUGUAAAGCUCUAUCAGCAGGGAAGAAGAUGACGGUACCUGACUAAGAAGCACCGGCUAAAUACGUGCCAGCAGCCGCGGUAAUCUGAGGCGGGCUGGCAAGGC
rnacentral:rRNA from 1 species